UGGGGAAUAUUGCACAAUGGACGGAAGUUUGAUGCAGCGACGCCGCGUGGAGGGUGUAGGCCUUCGGGUUGUGAACUCCUUUUUCUCGCGAAAAAGGCACAGUUUUGGCUGUGUUGAUGGUAGUGGGGGAAGAAGCGCCGGCUAACUACGUGCCAGCAGCCGCGGUAAUACGUAGGGCGCGAGCGUUGUCCGGAUUUAUUGGGCGUAAAGAGCUCGUAGGUGGUUCGCCGCGUCUGUCGUGAAAGCCAGCAGCUUAACUGUUGGUCUGCGGUGGGUACGGGCGGGCUUGAGUGCGGUAGGGGUGACUGGAAUUCCUGGUGUAGCGGUGGAAUGCGCAGAUAUCAGGAGGAACACCGAUGGCGAAGGCAGGUCACUGGGCCGUUAUUGACACUGAGGAGCGAAAGCGUGGGGAGCGAACAGG
rnacentral:rRNA from 1 species